rnacentral:rRNA from 1 species
AUUGAACGCUGGCGGCAGGCCUAACACAUGCAAGUCGAGCGAUCGGCGGACGGGUGAGUAAUGUAUGGGGACUGCCCGAUAGAGGGGGAUAACUACUGGAAACGGUAGCUAAUAACGCAUCCUAUCGGAUAACCCAUAUGGGAUUAGCUAGUAGGUGAGGUAAUGGCGCACCUAGGCGACGAGCCCUAGCUGGACUGAGAGGAUGACCAGCCACACUGGAACUGAGAAACGGCCCAGACUCCUACGGAGGCAGCAGUGGGGAAUAUUCCACAAUGGGCGAAAGCCUGAUGCAGCAAUGCCGCGGGUAUGAAGAAGGCCUUAGGUUUGUAAAGUACGUUCAGUCGGGAGGCGUUACCGACAGAAGAAGCACCGGCUAACUCCGUGCCAGCAGCCGCGGUAAUUC